GAAAUGCGAUAAGUAGUGUGAAUUGCAGAAUUCAGUGAAUCAUCGAAUCUUUGAACGCACAUUGCGCCCCUUGGUAUUCCAUGGGGCAUGCCUGUUCGAGCGUCAUUUGUACCCUCAAGCUCUGCUUGGUGUUGGGUGUUUGUCCCGUCUCCGCGCGUGGACUCGCCCCAAAGUGAUUGGCAGCCGGCGUACUGGUCCCGGAGCGCAGCACACGUCGCGCAAACGAGUGCCUUGGUACGGCGGCGUCCAUAAGCCCCUCUCUCACGCUCUUGACCUCGGAUCAGGUAGGGAUACCCGCUGAACUUAAGC
rnacentral:misc_RNA from 1 species